CAACGUAAUACAUAAAUUGUACUUUUGCUGAGAUGUAUGUCGCUUUGGACAAAAGCAUCUGCUAAAUGAAUAAAUGUAAAUCUAAAUGUAAAUAUUCAGUUUUGUUUUAGUAUAGAAAGCUAUACAACAUCUUGGCAUCGUUUGCAGAUUGGGGUCAUGACUGGAUGUACAAUUUCGCCAUCGGCUUUCACAAUGGCAGUGGAAGUUAUUAUAAGGGCCUCCAAAUGGGUUGUUGGUGGUGAGAGGCUGCGGGAUGGGACAUGCCUAACCCCUAUUAGAGCAUUUAUGGAUGACAUGACGACCGUUACAGCUAUGGCUCCUAGUAUGCGUCGUUUGUUGUCUAAGCUCAAUGAGAACUUGAAGUGGGCUAAGCUGAAGGUUAAGCCAAGUAAAUCAAGGAGUCUCUCAAUUGUUGGUCGGAAAGUGGUACAGGAGAACUUUUGUAUCGAUGGGGAAGUAAUUCCUUUUAUUCUGAAGAAGCCAGUGAAGAGUUUGGGUAGAUGGUAUAGUUCUGUAUUAAGUGAUAAGGAGCAGGUUGUGGCACUAAGGGAGGUGGUUGUGGAAGGUAUAAAGAGUAUUGAUGCAUCCCUCCUCCCUGGGAAGUUAAAGUUGUGGUGUCUGCAGUUUGAGCUCUUGGCACGUAUUAGGUGGCCACUUACGGUAUAUGAGUUUUCUGUCCGGGAGGUGGAGAAGCUCGAGCGGGUUAUUAGUAUGGCAAUAGGAAGAUGGCUGGGAGUGCCAUGCUGUUCAAGUAGUGUAGCGUUAUAUGGUAAGGGCAUGUUGGAGCUGCCGGUAUCAAGUUUGGUGGAGGAAUACAAGCGUGCAAAGGUGGGUUUGGAGCUGACUCUAAUGGAGUCAAAAGAUGAGAUUGUGAGGAAGAUGGUGCCGUCACUGAGGACAAGUAGGGGGUGGAACCCCAGAGAUGCUGUUCAGAGAGCAAAAGCGGCGCUGAUGUUGUUGGACGUGAUUGAGCACAUGCAGAGAGGGAAGGCAGGGUUUGGCUCUGGCCAUUUGUGGCGGUUGUGGAGUGCUUCCCCGGAGGCAGACAAACGCCGGUUGGUUGCUGAGCAGGUUUGGGG
rnacentral:lncRNA from 1 species